rnacentral:rRNA from 1 species
GUAGGUGGCAAGCGUUGUCCGGGAAUUAUUGGGGCGUAAAGCGCGCGCAGGCGGUUCUUUAAGUCUGAUGUGAAAGCCCACGGGCUCAACCGUGGAGGGUCAUUGGAAACUGGAGAACUUGAGUACAGAAGAGGAGAGCGGAAUUCCACGUGUAGCGGUGAAAUGCGUAGAGAUGUGGAGGAACACCAGUGGCGAAGGCGGCUUUCUGGUCUGUAACUGACGCUGAGGCGCGAAAGCGUGGGGAGCAAACAGGAUUAGACACCCUGGUAGUCCACGCCGUAAACGAUGAGUGCUAAGUGUUAGGGGGUUUCCGCCCCUUAGUGCUGCAGCUAACGCAUUAAGCACUCCGCCUGGGGAGUACGGCCGCAAAGGCUG